rnacentral:rRNA from 1 species
CAUAAUUAUUUGUUUUUUAAUUAAAAACUUGUAUGAAUGGUUUAAUAAGAUAUAAAUUGUUUCUGAAUAAUAAAAAUGAAUUUUGAUUUUUAGUAAAAAUUCUAAAAUAUUUUUAAAAGACGAGAAGACCCUAUAAAUCUUUAUUUUUAGAAUUUAUAUUAAUUAAGUUUUAAAUUUUUUAUAAAAUAUAUAAAAAUUUAAUUGGGGUGAUUAUGAAAUUUAAUAAACUUUUAUUUAUAUAUAAUAAAUUCAUUAAAUUUUAUAUCCAAUAAAUUUGAAUUAAAAUUAAGUUACUUUAGGGAUAACAGCGUAAUAAUUUUAAAGAGUUCUUAUCGAUAAAAUUGAUU